rnacentral:rRNA from 1 species
AUGGUGUUGCUUGACAUUAGGGGUAUGUUGUAGUCCAUGGGCAAAGACAUAGCUGAUUUCGCUCUUCCAUGCGUUGACGAUGCGUUCGACCCAACCGAGGGCGAGGCCAGAGAAGUGAUCGAGGAAUCCAACGUCGAUUUUGACAUCAACGACACUAAAUUGGCAUUGUCACUAAACUUGGAGCAGAGGGAAGCAUACGAUGAGAUACUAGCUGAUGUUGAACGCGGUGAUGGGUGUGUGUUCUUUGUUGAUGGCCCGGGAGGUACAUGGAAGACCUUCAUGUACAGGGCGCUGCUCGCCAAGGUUCGAAGCGAGGGAAACAUCGCUAUCGCUACCGUGACAUCAGGCGUCGCUUCUAUCAUGCCUGGAGGCAGGACUGCCCACUCGAGGUUCAAGAUCCCAUUGAACUGCAACGGUGGCACCUCAUGCACCAUCACAAAGCAGAGUUGUACCGCCAAGCUACUGAGGAUGGCCUCAUUGAUACUAUGGGAUGAGGCCACCAUGACUAAGCGACAGGCGGUCGAAGCACUCAACAACAGCAUGCGCGACAUCAUGGGAAGACAGGACCGACCCUUUGGAGUAAACACAAUUGUGUUUGCUGGGGACUUCAGGCAGGUGCUUCUGGUCGUCAGGAGGGGGUCCCGGGGUCAGAUAAUCGAUGCAACCCUCUGA